GACCGCGAGAAGCACAAAUAGAUAUAAUGUUUGACUAAAACAAUAAUUUCAAACCUUGCUUACAUUUAUAUACGAUUACGUGUCUCUCCAUAAUGCGUGGGAAUACUUGGGAACAGAUUUCUUAAAUGAAAAUAACUUUGGAGCAGAUUUCCUGGUGUUUUUACAAUAUUUUAUGUCCGACAAUCACAAAAAUUUGGGGGGGCCAAAGAAAACCACCCGUGGGUUAAAGAGAACCACCCGUGGGUUACAUCAUGUCCCUGUUGUAAGGCAGGGUUACGUCAUGUCCCUGUUCUAAGGCAGGGUUACGUCAUGUCCCUGUUCUAAGGCAGGGUUACGUCAUGUCCCUGUUGUAAGGCAGGGUUACGUCAUGUCCCUUUUGUAAGGCAGGGUUACGUCAUGUCCCUUUUGUAAGGCAGGGUUACGUCAUGUCCCUGUUGUAAGGCAGGGUUACGUCAUGUCCCUGUUGUAAGGCAGGGUUACGUCAUGUCCCUUUUGUAAGGCAGGGUUACGUCAUGUCCCUGUUGUAAGGCAGGGUUACGUCAUGUCCC
rnacentral:lncRNA from 1 species